rnacentral:rRNA from 1 species
GAUGAACGCUGGCGGCGUGCCUAAUACAUGCAAGUCGAGCGAACAGAUGAGGAGCUUGCUUCUCUGAUGUUAGCGGCGGACGGGUGAGGAACACGUGGAUAACCUACCUAUAAGACUGGGAUAACUUCGGGAAACCGGAGCUAAUACCGGAAAAUAUUUUGAACCGCAUGGUUCAAAAGUGAAAGAAGGUCUUGCUGUCACUUAUAGAUGGAUCAGCGCUGCAUUAGCUAGUUGGUAAGGUCACGGCUUACCAAGGCAACGAUGCAUAGACGACCUGAGAGCGUCAAUCGCCACCCUGUCACUGAGACACGUUCCCCACUCUGACGCGAGGCAGCAGUAGGGAAUCCUCCGCGAUGGAGCAGUGCCUGAUGUUGCAACGUCGCCUGAGUGCUGAUGCUCUUCGGCCCCGAGAACGCUGUUGUUAGUGAAGUUCAUAUGUGUUAGUACCUGUGCUCAUCUUGACGGUACCUAGUCAGAAAGCCACGGCUAACUCCGUG